rnacentral:rRNA from 1 species
CCUACGGGUCGCAGCAGUGGGGAAUGUUGCACAAUGGGCGCAAGCCUGAUGCAGCCAUGCCGCGUGUAUGAAGAAGGCCUUCGGGUUGUAAAGUACUUUCAGCGAGGAGGAAGGCGUUAAGGUUAAUAACCUUAGCGAUUGACGUUACUCGCAGAAGAAGCACCGGCUAACUCCGUGCCAGCAGCCGCGGUAAUACGGAGGGUGCAAGCGUUAAUCGGAAUUACUGGGCGUAAAGCGCACGCAGGCGGUCUGUCAAUUCGGAUGUGAAAUCCCCGGGCUCAACCUGGGAACUGCAUUCGAAACUGGCAGGCUAGAGUCUUGUAGAGGGGGGUAGAAUUCCAGGUGUAGCGGUGAAAUGCGUAGAGAUCUGGAGGAAUACCGGUGGCGAAGGCGGCCCCCUGGACAAAGUCUGACGCUCAGGAGCGAAAGCGUGGGGAGCAAACAGGAUUAGAUACCCCUGUAGUC